GCGGCAAGCCACGAGGCCCAAUGACGGCUUCACAGAGCAGCUAAAAAUCUCCGCUACC
rnacentral:SRP_RNA from 16 species